ACGCAGCGACGCCGCGUGGAGGAGGAAGUCCUUCGGGAUGUAAACUCCUUUUUCCGGGGAAGAAACAAAUGACGGUACCCGGUGAAUAAGCCCGGCUAACUACGUGC
rnacentral:rRNA from 1 species